rnacentral:rRNA from 1 species
GACGAACGCUGGCGGCGUGCCUAACACAUGCAAGUCGAGCGGGUGACGUCAGCACUGAGCAUUUGGCAUAGGGCCCAGCGCAUAUGCAGAAACGACCUUGAUGUAAAAGAUAUCAAUAAGAGGUUUCUGCAUCACGCGUAUAUAGUGCCAACACAAAACCGAAGGGUAUGAGUUGCACAUGGGUGGAUACACAGAAAACUGAGGAGCUGAAAUGUUGAGUGCUGGAGGCAACCUAGCGGCGGACGGGUGAGUAACGCGUGGGCAACCUGCCCCAAAGAGGGGGAUAACACCGAGAAAUCGGUGCUAAUACCGCAUAACAUUAGAGCUUCGCAUGGAGCUUUAAUCAAAGGAGCAAUCCGCUUUGGGAUGGGCCCGCGUCUGAAUUAGCUAGUUGGUGAGGUAACGGCUCACCAAGGCGACGAUCAGUAGCCGAUCUGAGAGGAUGACCGGCCACACUGGAA